rnacentral:tRNA from 1 species
GGGAAGGUGGCUCAGUGGUAGAGCUCUUGCCUUGCAUGCAUGAGGCCCUGGGUUCAGACCACUGCCCCCCA